CUGGUUUAUAAAUGUUUUACACAUUACAUACAGUGACUAGGUAAUCCUGGUUUAUAGAUGUUUUACACAUUACAGACAGUGACUAGGUAAUCCUGGUUUAUAGAUGUUUUACACAUUACAUACAGUGACUAGGUAAUCCUAGUUUAUAGAUGUUUUACACAUUACAUACAGUGACUAGGUAAUCCUGGUUUAUAUAUGUUUUACACAUUACAUACAGUGACUAGGUAAUCCUGGUUUAUAGAUGUUUUACACAUUACAUACAGUGACUAGGUAAUCCUGGUUUAUAGAUGUUUUACACAUUACAUACAGUGACUAGGUAAUCCUGGUUUAUAGAUGUUUUACACAUUACGUACAGUGACUAGGUAAUCCUGGUUUAUAGAUGUUUUACACAUUACACACAGUGACUAGGUAAUCCUGGUUUAUAGAUGUUUUACACAUUACAUACAGUGACUAGGUAUUCCUGGUUUAUAGAUGUUUUACACAUUACAUACAGUGACUAGGUAAUCCUGGUUUAUAGAUGUUUUACACAUUACAUACAGUGACUAGGUAUUCCUGGUUUAUAGAUGUUUUACACAUUACAUACAGUGACUAGGUAAUCCUGGUUUAUAGAUGUUUUACACAUUACAUACAGUGACUAGGUAUUCCUGGUUUAUAGAUGUUUUACACAUUACAUACAGUGACUAGGUAAUCCUGGUUUAUACAUUACAUACAGUGACUAGGUAAUCCUAGUUUAUAGAUGUUUUACACAUUACAUACAGUGACUAGGUAAUCCUGGUUUAUAGAUGUUUUACACAUUACAUACAGUGACUAGGUAAUCCUGGUUUAUAGAUGUUUUACACAUUACAUACAGUGACUAGGUAAUCCUGGUUUAUAGAUGUUUUACACAUUACAUAUAGUGACUAGGUAAUCCUGGUUUAUACAUUACAUACAGUGACUAGGUAAUCCUGGUUUAUAGAUGUUUUACACAUUACAUACAGUGACUAGGUAAUCCUGGUUUAUACAUUACAUACAGUGACUAGGUAAUCCUGGUUUAUAGAUGUUUUACACACUACAUACAGUGACUAGGUAAUCCUGGUUUAUAGAUGUUUUACACAUUACAUACAGUGACUAGGUAAUCCUGGUUUAUAGAUGUUUUAUACAUUACAUACAGUGAUUAGGUAAUCCUGGUUUAUAGAUGUUUUACACACUACAUACAGUGACUAGGUAAUCCUGGUUUAUAGAUGUUUUACACAUUACAUACAGUGACUAGGUAAUCCUGGUCUAUAGAUGUUUUACACAUUACAUACAGUGACUAUGUAGUCCCUUUUUAUCUAUCACUUUAGUUUUUUUCCUGUGAUAUUUAUUUAAGUCCCAAUGUCGUUCAGAUUUUGUAUUUUGAUACAGUUGCACAAAAAUAAAAUAGUAAUUAUAACCCAUUU